rnacentral:rRNA from 1 species
GACGAACGCUGGCGGCGUGCUUAACACAUGCAAGUCGAGCGGUAAGGCCCUCGGGUACGACGAGCGGCGAACGGGUGAGUAACACGUGGGUGACCUGCCUCUAGCUCUGGGAGUAAGACCUGGGAAACUAGGGUCGUAAUACCGGAUAUGACUCCACGGCGCAUGUUGUGGGGUGGAAAGCCUUGUGUGGCUAGAGAUGGGCCCGCGGCCGUACCAGCUUGUUGGUGGGGUGAUGGCCUACCAAGGCGACGACGGUAGCCGGCCUGAGAGGGCGACCGGCCACACUGGGACUGAGACACGG